UGGGGAAUCUUGGACAAUGGGCGCAAGCCUGAUCCAGCCAUGCCGCGUGGAUGAUGAAGGCCCUAGGGUUGUAAAAUCCUUUCGUCGGGGACGAUAAUGACGGUACCCGAAGAAGAAGCUCCGGCUAACUUCGUGCCAGCAGCCGCGGUAAUACGAAGGGGGCUAGCGUUGUUCGGAUUUACUGGGCGUAAAGCGCGUGUAGGCGGGCCGGUAAGUUGGGGGUGAAGUCCCGAGGCUCAACCUCGGAACUGCCUCCAAAACUGGCGGCCUGGAGCAAGAUAGAGGCGAGUGGAAUUGCGAGUGUAGAGGUGAAAUUCGUAGAUAUUCGCAGGAACACCAGUGGCGAAGGCGACUCGCUGGAUCUUUGCUGACGCUGAGACGCGAAAGCGUGGGGAGCAAACAGGAUUAGAUACCCUGGUAGUCCACGCUGUAAACGAUGAGAGCUAGUUGUCGGCACGCAUGCGUGUCGGUGACGCAGCUAACGCUAA
rnacentral:rRNA from 1 species